GACGAACGCUGGCGGCGUGCCUAAUACAUGCAAGUAGGACGCAGUUGCGAACGGGUGAGUAACGCGUAGGUAACUACCUAUUAGUGGGUGAUAACUAUUGGAAACGAUAGCUAAUACCGCAUACUAGUAGAUGGACCUGCGUUGUAUUAGCUAGUAGGUAGGGUAAUGGCCUACCUAGGCAACGAUACAUAGCCGACAUGAGAGGGUGAUCGGCGACACUGGGACUGAGGCACAGCCCAGACCCCUACGGGGGGCAACAGGAGGGAAUCUUCGGCAAAGGGGAGAACCCUGACCGAGCAACGCCGCGGGAGAGAAAAAAGUUUUCGGAUCGUAAGGAUCUGUUGUUAAGGAAGCGGUACUUAAACAGAAAGGAACGGCUAACUACGUGCCAGCAGCCGCGGUAAUUC
rnacentral:rRNA from 1 species